CGGGUGGCAGAGCCAUAGUAACAACGAACUGUCAGAAGUCAGCAGAGGUCAUAGUAGCCAUGGAGUAGUGGUGAAGGAC
rfam:Succinatimonas hippei YIT 12066 genomic scaffold Scfld329, whole genome shotgun sequence.